rnacentral:rRNA from 1 species
GAUGAACGCUGGCGGCGUGCCUAAUACAUGCAAGUCGAGCGAACAGACGAGGAGCUUGCUCCUCUGACGUUAGCGGCGGACGGGUGAGUAACACGUGGAUACCCUACCUAUAAGACUGGGAUAACUUCGGGAAACCGGAGCUAAUACCGGAUAAUAUAUUGAACCGCAUGGUUCAAUAGUGAAAGACGGUUUUGCUGUCACUUAUAGAUGGAUCCGCGCCGCAUUAGCUAGUUGGUAAGGUAACGGCUUACCAAGGCGACGAUGCGUAGCCGACCUGAGAGGGUGGUCGGCCACACUGGAACUGAGACACGGUCCAGACUCCUACGGGAGGCAGCAGUAGGGAAUCUUCCGCAAUGGGCGAAAGCCUGACGGAGCAACGCCGCGUGAGUGAUGAAGGUCUUCGGAUCGUAAAACUCUGUUAUUAGGGAAGAACAAAUGUGUAAGUAACUAUGCACGUCUUGACGGUACCUAAUCAGAAAGCCACGGCUAACUACGUG